UACAGAGGAGCCAAGCGUUGUCCGGAUUGACUGGGCGUAAAGCGCACGCAGGCGGAUGCGCGCGUGGGGUGUGAAAUCUGGCCGCUUAACGGCCAGGCGCCAUCCCAUACGGCGCGUCUGGAGUGAUGCAGAGGUCGAUGGAAUUGCCGGUGUAGUGGUGAAAUGCGUAGAUAUCGGGAGGAACACCAGUGGCGAAAGCGGCUACCUGGCCCAUUCUUGACGCUGAGGCGCGAAAGCUAGGGGAGCAAACGGG
rnacentral:rRNA from 1 species